UAUGAUAGUUUUUCUUAUGAACUUUCUAUACUAAAUUUUGAAAAGGCAAUAAUGGUUGCAUUGCCAGAAUUCUGUUCUUUGGCCAAGAGAACAGAGCAGAUGUCUGACUAUGAGCUCUCUUUUUUCUUCUUGUCCAAAAGACAAUCCCAACCUUGCAAUACAUUUCUUGUUGUUAAUGGUGAAGAUUUUGUUCCCGCAUGGAGGAGAUUUCGCCCCCGGUUUCAUUUUAUUGAAACGAAAUCGCUAAAACAACUGUCAGCCCACAAGAAUGCAUGCAUCAAUCCAGACAACAAAGAUAUAGGUCACCCAGACAAGCGCCCAUAGCACGACGAGGUUAUGAAACAUGACCUAACAAGCUACGACCAGAUAAAGGCAACGACAAUGUAUCAAACAUAUCUCGUACAGUAGCAUAGCACUCGAAUCCUGCUGCAAGACAUAGCACCAUAGGAGCCCAUCCCCUGCUCACAUGGAAGGAGUACACAGCUACCUUAGCGAGCAGAGACGCCACGAUUCGAAGUAUCCAGUGCCCUUCGUCUCUCUGCAAAUACGACCAAUAUGACAACCAAUUAGCAGUUUGAUAGACAACCACACUAGGAUGAUGACGCGUUUAGAGCUAGCUGCAUUUCAUCCCCUGCGCAUGAAUUUAGCAAGUACACGUUUACACAACAAGUGACCCAUCCUCGUAAAAUU
rnacentral:lncRNA from 1 species